AAAAAAAUUUAUUUUGUCUCCACCGACAACCAUCGAUCUCUUUCUAUCUGGUUUCCUUAUCAUCUCUUUCUAUCUGGUUUUGUAAACCUGAGUAAUCAAAUUCCAUUGUUAUGAUUCUUCAUCAUUUUAAUAGAAACGUACUUCAUCCAAAUUAAAAUUUAGAGCUUUUUCAUUCUGAGAAUUACAUAUCUAUUCCAAGUAAUCCAAUUGUUCCAGAUAUGGCUUUCGUUUGAGGACUUUUGUUUUACAAUAUGAUGAGCGUGGCACCUUCAAUCUAAGCAAUUCAUGUUUACAGAUUUCCCCUUCAAUCUUUCCUUGAACAAUUUAAGCGGUCCUAUCCCAUCAACUCUCGGCCGGCUUAAGAAACUCCGUUUCUUGAAGAUGUUCCGAAUUCAGAGUGACUGUCUGUUUGGUUGGACUCGUCUAUCACUUUUGAAAGAUUCAGCACUGGAGCAUGAAUCUGUU